rnacentral:rRNA from 1 species
GACGAACGCUGGCGGCGUGCUUAACACAUGCAAGUCGAACGGAAAGGCCCUGCUUUUGUGGGGUGCUCGAGUGGCGAACGGGUGAGUAACACGUGAGUAACCUGCCCUUGACUUUGGGAUAACUUCAGGAACCUGGGGCUAAUACCAGAUAGGAGCUCCUGCUGCAUGGUGGGGGUUGGAAAGUUUCGGCGGUUGGGGAUGGACUCGCGGCUUAUCAGCUUGUUGGUGGGGUAGUGGCUUACCAAGGCUUUGACGGGUAGCCGGCCUGAGAGGGUGACCGGCCACAUUGGGACUGAGAUACGGCCCAGACUCCUACGGGAGGCAGCAGUGGGGAAUAUUGCACAAUGGGCGGAAGCCUGAUGCAGCAACGCCGCGUGCGGGAUGACGGCCUUCGGGUUGUAAACCGCUUUCGCCUGUGACGAAGCGUGAGUGACGGUAAUGGGUAAAGAAGCACCGGCUAACUACGUG